GUGAGGAAUAUUGCGCAAUGGAGGCAACUCUGACGCAGCCAUGCCGCGUGCAGGAAGAAGGCGCUACGCGUUGUAAACUGCUUUUAACCGGGAAGAAACCCCAGGACGUGUCCUGGGUUGACGGUACCGGAGGAAUAAGCACCGGCUAACUUCGUGCCAGCAGCCGCGGUAAUACGAAGGGUGCAAGCGUUAUCCGGAUUCAUUGGGUUUAAAGGGUGCGUAGGCGGAGCGUUAAGUCAGUGGUGAAAUCCUGCAGCUUAACUGUAGACUUGCCAUUGAUCCUGGCGCUCUUGAGUGCGCUUGAAGUGGGCGGAAUGUGCCGUGUAGCGGUGAAAUGCUUAGAUAUGGCACAGAACACCGAUUGCGAAGGCAGCUCACUAAGGCGAUACUGACGCUGAGGCACGAAAGCGUGGGGAUCGAACAGGAUUAGAAACCCGGGUAGUCC
rnacentral:rRNA from 1 species